rnacentral:rRNA from 1 species
UACGUAGGGUCCGAGCGUUGUCCGGAAUACUGGGCGUAAAGCGUGCGCAGGCGGUUGAUGACGUAAGACGAUGUGAAAUCCCCGGGCUUAACCUGGGAACUGCAUUGUGACUGGCGAGCUCGAGUAUGGCAGAGGGGGGUAGAAUUCCACGUGUAGCAGUGAAAUGCGUAGAGAUGUGGAGGAAUACCGAUGGCGAAGGCAGCCCCCUGGGCCAAUACUGGACGCUCAUGCACGAAAGGCGUGGGAGCAAACAG